rnacentral:rRNA from 1 species
CGUACACUCCUGCGGGAGGCAGCAGUGGGGAAUAUUGGACAAUGGGCGCAAGCCUGAUCCAGCCAUGCCGCGUGAGUGAUGAAGGCCCUAGGGUUGUAAAGCUCUUUCACCGGUGAAGAUAAUGACGGUAACCGGAGAAGAAGCCCCGGCUAACUUCGUGCCAGCAGCCGCGGUAAUACGAAGGGGGCUAGCGUUGUUCGGAUUUACUGGGCGUAAAGCGCACGUAGGCGGACUAUUAAGUCAGGGGUGAAAUCCCGGGGCUCAACCCCGGAACUGCCUUUGAUACUGGUAGUCUUGAGUUCGAGAGAGGUGAGUGGAAUUCCGAGUGUAGAGGUGAAAUUCGUAGAUAUUCGGAGGAACACCAGUGGCGAAGGCGGCUCACUGGCUCGAUACUGACGCUGAGGUGCGAAAGCGUGGGGAGCAAACAGGAUUAGAAACCCCGGUAGUCCCA